AUAGGGAGGUGAAAUGACUGGUGGUGGGAGGGGCUGAGAGAUUUACAGGGAGCAGAUAUCAAGCACUUUCACUUUCAGGCUAGCCUCUGCCUGAGCUCACACAGACAGACUGCCCAGAGGGCGAGAGAUAUAGUGGGUCUGUUUCUCUCACUCUGUCCAUUAGCCAUUUAAAGGGUGAGAAGAGAGUGAGGUCUGUAAUAUACUGGGUCAACAGGGGAGAGAGACAGACAGAGAGGGAGGGAGGGAGAAAGAAAGGCUGCAGCUUGACAAACUGGGAGGUGGGAAAAUCCAAAGUGAGAGCACAGUGCAGAUUGAAUGAGAGAAGGGGGUGUGGAGAUUUGGAAAGUACCAGGGAGACAAAAGGAGGAAUUCUAAAAAAGAGGUCAACUAAACUGGAGGCUCAAAAGUAGAGGAAAAAGAAAAGACUCAGAGCUCUCUCUCUGUGUCACACACUUGACGGAACCGCUGAGGAAACUUUGCCUAGUCAGACCAGAGGAUUUAUUUCAGCUGCGUAUUGCAUGCUUUCAAACACAGCAAUGGAGAAGUGGCCUUUCUCAUGAAGAUAAAAGGAUGUUACGAUCAGUUUUUCUGUUGCUAUCAAUAUUGACACUCCAAGGUAGCGGAUGUGAUUACUUUUUGAGGGGGGUUGUCGUUAAUCUUCAAACCACCCUUAACUCAGACCACGCUGGAUUUAUACUCUUGUGAAUACUGUGAUUCCUGAACCAGUUUUUUCCUCCAAGCGUAAGGUGUUCCCUAAAGACUAUUGGAUUUCCCACCACUACAAUGUCAACCUGCUGUGCAACACUGAUCCGUGUUGUGUGUUCCGAGCUGCGACUGUUCUCUCUGACUCCUGGCUCCAGCUCCGCAGCAAGCUGUGGCCAGAGCACCAUAGCUUCGAAUUCAUCUCCAACCUUAUACAAGCCCUGGGUGGCAGGGGUAUGACAAAAGGGAGAUUUGAGGAUCCUGACCCUUCAGUUCUUCCGUCUGUCUCCUCCUCUCCAGAGAAACUUCUCAACUUCACUUCAUCUGUUUUCUCCAAAUGGCUGGAGCUGGGGUGCUCGACCCCGGUGGACACUUGUCCCUUCCCCACUCUGGCCUCUCCUGCUGGGGAGGAAGAAAGGGCAGCUCUGGAAAGUAAAAAAGUGAGGCUAUUAACCACACGAGCAGUUCACAUGGAGAAUGAAGGGGAAAUAGGGAUGAGGUUACACACACCUCCACCAACCAAUAGGAGCCCACCAUCCAAAGGUGGGCUCCUAUUAGUUCUUUCUGGGUCUUUUUUUUUAAACCUUUAUUUAACUAGGCAAGUCAAUUAAGAACAAAUUUAUUUACAAUGACGGCCUACAUUGGAGCCUCCUGUUAUGUGGACUGCCUGGAUGCUACUGUAGAGCGGUUGCUAAAGUUACUGAAGUGAUCUCUAAUGGCGCACCAAAAAUGGUUUGGAGCACUUGUUGGCUUUUUCUCAAUCUGUCCAUUCUAGCUGUUCUAAUGCAGUAAGCUUUGUCAUUCAAGUGACUGACAUGCACACUUAAUCGUUGCACUGAAUGUACAACUGCAGUCAAUAUUAUGUAUAGAAUAACAGCCUUUUAAUUUACUGUCUGCACACCAGAGUUCUAUUAUCACCAUAAUAAACCAUUACGUACCUAUACAACAUAGCCAUAUGUAUAAAAAGCCAUAUUCUAUGCAAGCUAACUAAACACUAACAAGUGCUUUAUAUUGAGCAAGAUACAGAACAUAAAUUAUUGUCCAAUAUUUCUGAUCAAAUUCAUAUGAUGUUUACAAUGCAGUGGAAUGUGAAUAUUUGUUUGUUUGUUGGUCUUCAAUGAAUGUUUUUUUUUUCUAUGAACUUUUGUACAUACUGCAUCUUGUAAAUAAAAACCAUGCAGCCGU